GGGUGGUAAUGCCGGAUGCUCCAUCACACCGCAUGGUGUGUUGGGAAAGCCUUUGCGGCAUGGGAUGGGGUCGCGUCCUAUCAGCUUGAUGGCGGGGUAACGGCCCACCAUGGCUUCGACGGGUAGCCGGCCUGAGAGGGCGACCGGCCACAUUGGGACUGAGAUACGGCCCAGACUCCUACGGGAGGCAGCAGUGGGGAAUAUUGCACAAUGGGCGCAAGCCUGAUGCAGCGACGCCGCGUGAGGGAUGGAGGCCUUCGGGUUGUAAACCUCUUUUGUUAGGGAGCAAGGCACUUUGUGUUGAGUGUACCUUUCGAAUAAGCACCGGCUAACUACGUGCCAGCAGCCGCGGUAAUACGUAGGGUGCAAGCGUUAUCCGGAAUUAUUGGGCGUAAAGGGCUCGUAGGCGGUUCGUCGCGUCCGGUGUGAAAGUCCAUCGCUUAACGGUGGAUCCGCGCCGGGUACGGGCGGGCUUGAGUGCGGUAGGGGAGACUGGAAUUCCCGGUGUAACGGUGGAAUGUGUAGAUUCGAAAAAAAAAACCCC
rnacentral:rRNA from 1 species